GACGGAGGAUGCAAGUGUUAUCCGGAAUUAUUGGGCGUAAAGAGCUCGUAGGCGGUUUGUCGCGUCUGCUGUGAAAGACCGGGGCUCAACUCCGGAUCUGCGGUGGGUACGGGCAGACUAGAGUGAUGUAGGGGAGACUGGAAUUCCUGGUGUAGCGGUGAAAUGCGCAGAUAUCAGGAGGAACACCGAUGGCGAAGGCAGGUCUCUGGGCAUUAACUGACGCUGAGGAGCGAAAGCAUGGGGAGCGAACAGG
rnacentral:rRNA from 1 species